rnacentral:ncRNA from 1 species
AAUUUUAUGAUUUGGAGAAUUUAAUUUAAAUUUAUUUUACAUAUAAAUUUUAGUGUUAGUUUUAUAUUAUUUUAAUAAUUUUAUAUUGAUAUUAAUUAGUAAUUAAUAUUAAAAAUUUAAGAAAUUAAGAUUUAGUAAUAUUUUAAUUUAUAAACAAAUUUUGUGCCAGCAGUUGCGGUUAUACAAAAUAUAAUUUAAAUUAUGUCAGUAUAUAAUUAUCAAUUAAUUAAAAAUUAAAUUUUUAAUUAUUAGGUGAAAUUUUAAUUAWAUUUAUAGUAUAAUAAUAUAUUUGAGAUUUAUAAAAUUUUAUAAAAAACUAGGAUUAGAUACCCUAUUAUUAAAAUUUAAAAUUAAAUACUAAAAUAGUAAAUAAUAAUUUAUUGAAACUUAAAUAAGUUGGCGGUAUUUUAGUUCAUUUAGAGGAAUCUGUCUAAUAAUUGAUAAUCCACGAAUAAAUUUACUUAAUUUUUUUUUUAUUUUGUAUAUCGUUGUUAAAAAAAUAUUUAUUAAUAAAAAUAAUAUUUUAAAAUUAAAAUUAAAAAUUAAUUCAGAUCAAGAUGCAGAUUAUAGUUAAGAAUAUGAUGGAUUACAAUAAUAAUAAAAUUAAAAAUGAAUAAUAUUUUUUAAAAAAUAUUUGAAGGUGGAUUUAAAUGUAAUUUUAUUUAAUUUAUUAAAAUGAUUUAAAAUUAAAAUAUGUACAUAUUGCCCGUCGCUUUCAUUAAUAAAUUGGAAUAAGUCGUAACAAAGUAGAGGUACUGGAAAGUGUUUCU